rnacentral:piRNA from 1 species
UAAGAGCUGUGGAGGCAGGAGUAGAGGA